rnacentral:lncRNA from 1 species
AGGGAUGGGCUGGAAGCUAAGCUAGGAGAUAAUUAUAACUCCAUCCAUUAAGCACUUACUAUGUGCCAGACACGGAACAUCCAGCACUUCAAUUGACUCUUCCAACAGCCUUGUGGGGUCAGCACUCUUCUUGCUAGAGGGGCUAAAUAACCCAUCGAAGGAACCUGAUAAGGUCACUGUCUGAACCUGACUCCAGGACUCCAAGUUGAGACUUUUAAGUGUGAGAGUAGACAUCAAGUGUUCUCUGGGUGUUUUCUUCAAGGAGAUUAUCCAUUUUAAGUAUGUAUCUUCCAAUGAGGCUGGCAAUGUGGUGUGACAGAGGCCAAUCUGGAAAGAGAAGAAAUUGGUUCCCCCAGAGUGCACCAGGGUACUACCUGAGUUGGUGAUGCCCCUCCAUGUGGAAAGAAGAGCAAACCAAAUAACAGAGACAGAGUGAGGCAGUGUUGCCAUCCAGAACAGAAGGAGAGGUCCCCUCCUUUCUCCAUUUGUGCCCAACAACUGUGUCUGAGGAAUAACAGGUGUCAGACACAUUGGAGGCUCCAGAGAUACAGACACAGGGCCCCAUGCCUUCAGACUCACAUUCUGUAGGGACAGGACGCCAAUAAACAGUCUCACACAGAAACCACAAAGAUUGGCAGCCACCACCAGAAGUCAGCAAGAGGCAAGGAGAUACUUGCUGGAGUUUGAGAGAAAAGUGUGGCCCAGCUGAUACCUUGACUUGAGGCUUCUGACCUCCAGAAAUGGGAGCGAACGUUUCUGUUGUUUUCAGGCGCCUGUGUUUGUCACAGCCACAUGACACAGCUUUGUCUUUGGAUCUACAAGAGACAAAAUUCUUUCAAAUGGAACCAAAUAAACUAAAUGAUUUUAACUGG